rnacentral:sRNA from 16 species
AGCCUCUGCCCUUCCUGGGGCGUUUCCUCCCUACUUAUUUCAGCCCGGCUUUUCGCCGGGCUUUUCUUUUGGCGGU